UUGGAGGGCAAGUCUGGUGCCAGCAGCCGCGGUAAUUCCAGCUCCAAUAGCGUAUAUUAAAGUUGUUGCAGUUAAAAAGCUCGUAGUUGAAUUUCGGGACCAAUUUGUUGGUCGUGCCUCGGUACGUACUGGUAUUAUUGGUUUCUCCCUUCUGAAGAACCUUGAUGUCAUUAAUUUGGUGUCUUGGGGAAUCAGGACUGUUACUUUGAAAAAAUUAGAGUGUUUAAAGCAGGCAUACGCUUGAAUACAUUAGCAUGGAAUAAUGAAAUAGGACGUCUGAUUCUAUUUUGUUGGUUUCUAGGAUCGACGUAAUGAUUAAUAGGGAUAGUUGGGGGCAUUAGUAUUCAAUUGUCAGAGGUGAAAUUCUUGGAUUUAUUGAAGACUAACUACUGCGAAAGCAUUUGCCAAGGAUGUUUUCAUUAAUCAAGAACGAAAGUUAGGGGAUCGAAGACGAUCAGAUACCGUCGUAGUCUUAACCAUAAACUAUGCCGACUAGGGAUCGGAUGAUGUUAAUUUUUUAAUGACUCAUUCGGCGCCUUACGGGAAAC
rnacentral:rRNA from 1 species